UGAAGUUGUUGCUGGCCCUCAGAUGGGGGCAUGUGCACACUCUGUUUACACAUCCACUCACACCUGUGCACUCCUCUGUAGUACUGUGGUCUGGGGGUUCUGUCCUCCUACUGUGGUUCUGCGUAUUUAUACACACACACUGUAAUAAAGUCUCAUGGAAUGUAUGCCGCGUUUAACGCAAUGAAAUACAACUUUCAGCAACGGAUCUCUUGGCUCUCGCAUCGAUGAAGAACGCAGCGAAAUGCGAUAAGUAAUGUGAAUUGCAGAAUUCAGUGAAUCAUCGAAUCUUUGAACGCACCUUGCGCCCUUUGGCUAUUCCGAAGGGCAUGCCUGUUUGAGUAUCAUGAACACCUCAACUCUCAUGGCUUGCCAUGAUGAGCUUGGACUUGGGGGUUUUGCUGGCCUACAGUCAGCUCCCCUCAAAUGCAUCAGCUUUCCAGUUUUUGGUGGCACCACAAGUGUGAUAAACAUCUACACGUGUGGUUCCCCACCAUGUAACCUUCAGUGAUGGAGGUUUGCUGGAGCUCACAAAUGUCUUUCCUCAGUGAAGACAGUUCUUUGAUUGUUUGAUCUCAAAUCAGGUAGGACUACCCGCUGAACUUAAGCAUAUCAAUAAGCGGAGGAAAAGAAACUAACAAGGAUUCCCCUAGUAACUGCGAGUGAAGCGGGAAGAGCUCAAAUUUAAAAUCUGACGUGCCUCUGGUCGUCCGAGUUGUAGUCUGGARAAGUGUUUUCCGUGCUG
rnacentral:rRNA from 1 species